rnacentral:pre_miRNA from 1 species
CUGCUACUCCCUCCGUCCGAAAAAGGUUGUCCCUCAAAUGGAUGUAUCUAGCACCAAGUUAGUGCUAGAUACAUUCAUUUGAGGGAUAAGCUUGGGACAAGUUUUUUUGGGCGGAGGGAGUACAUG